UACGGAGGGUGCAAGCGUUAUCCGGAUUCACUGGGUUUAAAGGGUGCGUAGGCGGACAGGUAAGUCAGUGGUGAAAUCUCUGGGCUUAACCCAGAAACUGCCGUUGAUACUAUUUGUCUUGAAUAUCCUGGAGGUAGGCGGAAUAUGUCAUGUGGCGGUGAAAUGCUUAGAUAUGACAUAGAACACCGAUAGCGAAGGCAGCUUACUACAGGAUGAUUGACGCUGAGGCACGAAAGCGUGGGGAGCAAACAGG
rnacentral:rRNA from 1 species